AACGAACGCUGGCGGCAUGCCUAACACAUGCAAGUCGAACGAGACCUUCGGGUCUAGUGGCGCACGGGUGCGUAACGCGUGGGAACCUGCCCUUAGGUUCGGAAUAACUCCCCGAAAGGGGUGCUAAUACCGGAUAAUGUCUUCGGACCAAAGAUUUAUCGCCUUUGGAUGGGCCCGCGUUGGAUUAGCUAGUUGGUAGGGUAAAAGCCUACCAAGGCGACGAUCCAUAGCUGGUCUGAGAGGAUGAUCAGCCACACUGGGACUGAGACACGGCCCAGACUCCUACGGGAGGCAGCAGUGGGGAAUAUUGGACAAUGGGGGAAGGCCUGAUCCAGCAAUGCCGCGUGAGUGAUGAAGGCCUUAGGGUUGUAAAGCGCUUUUACCCGGGAUGAUAAUGACAGUACCGGGAGAAUAAGCUCCGGCUAACUCCGUG
rnacentral:rRNA from 1 species